rnacentral:rRNA from 1 species
UUCGCAAUGCCCGAAAGGGUGACGAAGCGACGCCGCGUGUGGGAAGAAGGCCUUCGGGUUGUAAACCACUGUCGGGAGUUAAGAAAUGUAAGGGUGUUAAUAGCGUCCUUACUUGACUAAGGCUCCAGAGGAAGCCACGGCUAACUCUGUGCCAGCAGCCGCGGUAAUACAGAGGCGGCAAGCGUUGCUCGGAAUUAUUGGGCGUAAAGAGCACGUAGGCGGCCUUGCAAGUCAGUUGUAAAAGCCUUCCGCUCAACGGAAGAAUGCCAGCUGAUACUACAGGGCUUGAGUACGGGAGGGGAGAGUGGAACUUCUGGUGGAGCAGUAAAAUGCGUAGAUAUCAGAAGGAACGCCGGCGGCGAAAGCGACUCUCUGGCCCGAAACUGACGCUGAGUGUGCGAAAGCUAGGGGAGCAAACGGGAUUAGAUACCCCGGUAGUCCUAGCCGUAAACGAUGGGCACUAAGUAGAGGGGUUUU